rnacentral:rRNA from 1 species
UCGCCCGCCCGGCCCCGCGCCCGUCCCGCCGCCCCCGCCCGCCUACGGGAGGCAGCAGGGGGGAAUAUUGCACAAUGGGCGAAAGCCUGAUGCAGCAACGCCGCGUGAGGGAUGACGGCCUUCGGGUUGUAAACCUCUUUUAGCAGGGAAGAAGCGAAAGUGACGGUACCUGCAGAAAAAGCGCCGGCUAACUACGUGCCAGCAGCCGCGGUAAUACGUAGGGCGCAAGCGUUAUCCGGAAUUAUUGGGCGUAAAGAGCUCGUAGGCGGUUUGUCGCGUCUGCUGUGAAAUCCCGAGGCUCAACCUCGGGCCUGCAGUGGGUACGGGCAGACUAGAGUGCGGUAGGGGAGAUUGGAAUUCCUGGUGUAGCGGUGGAAUGCGCAGAUAUCAGGAGGAACACCGAUGGCGAAGGCAGAUCUCUGGGCCGUAACUGACGCUGAGGAGCGAAAGGGUGGGGAGCAAACAGGCUUAGAUACCCUGGUAGUCCACCCCGUAAACGUUGGGAACUAGUUGUGGGGACCAUUCCACGGUUUCCGUGACGCAGCUAACGCACUAAGUCGCCCGCCUGGACCAACGGACUUUU